GUAGGAGGCAAGCGUUGUCCGGAUUUACUGGGCGUAAAGGGCUCGCAGGCGGUUCGCCAAGUCUGGUGUGAAAUCUCCCGGCUUAACCGGGAGGGUGCAUUGGAAACUGGCGGACUUGAGGGCAUCAGGGGAGAGUGGAAUUCCAGGUGUAGUGGUGAAAUGCGUAGAUAUCUGGAAGAACACCAGUGGCGAAGGCGGCUCUCUGGGUGCAUCUGACGCUGAGGAGCGAAAGCGUGGGGGAGCGAACCGGAUUAGAUACCCGGGUAGUCCACGCCCUAAACGAUGAUAACUAGGUGUUGGGGGUAUCGACCCCCCCUCAGUGCCGAAGCUAACGCGAUAAGUUAUCCGCCUGGGGACUACGGCCGCAAGGCUAA
rnacentral:rRNA from 1 species